rnacentral:rRNA from 1 species
UACGUAGGUGGCUAGCGUUGUCCGGAUUUACUGGGCGUAAAGCGCGCUCAGGCGGUCGUUCAAGUCGAGUGUGAAAGCCCCCGGCUCAACUGGGGAGGGUCACUCGAUACGGAUCGACUUGAAGGCAGAAGAGGGAAGCGGAAUUCCCGGUGUAGUGGUGAAAUGCGUAGAUAUCGGGAGGAACACCAGUGGCGAAGGCGGCUUUCUGGUCUGUUCUUGACGCUGAGGCGCGAAAGCUAGGGUAGCAAACGGG